GGAAACUCGUAAAAUUUAUUCAUUUUUACUUACUGUUUAUUUCGAAAAAUUCAACAGAUUCCGAUUCGGACUCUGACUAACACUGAAACUAAGGUGUGGUAACACUUUCAACGGUUGAGUGCUUGGUCCCAUGAAGCCGUUUUAGUGUCCCCAAUACCUCGUCGUCGCAAUGUUGGCGAUCUCUGGGAGGAGCUGCCUGUUCCUCUUCUAAUGGCAUUCAAUGGCAGGGUGUUGUUCGAAAGCCUCGUUUUCCAGCAACUCAAUAUAUCAACAAAUUGUACGAUCUCCCAGAGUCCGCCGAAAUAUUUACAACAGUCCGGAUAAUUUGGAAUAUGAAAACUAAAUUUAGAGUACACAAAAUUGUAUAAUGCAUAAGAAAAAUGUUACUUGGACCAAUAUAUAUUUUUGUACCAACUAAAAAUUUCUGAAAUAUCGAGUAUUCUUUUCGAUUUAUAUCCCCUACAGAAAUCAUUGUUAAACCCUUUCCCAAUCAAAAUCAGAUGGAUCUAAGUGUUCCCCUACUGGGUAUCUGCUGGGUUGCUUGCGUUUUAAUUUUCGCAACUUUGUUGUUGCCAGAGCCUGCCAGAGCCCCCCUCACAAUGGUGCACGGGGCCAGGGCCUGCCCCGAAAGUGCAACUCAAUCAGGCAGCGGUCGAGUAUUUCCACAGUUAACCCGCUGCUUCUAAUGAAGCAAUUUUCGUUAAAAGCAGUCACCACAGGAGCACUAGCUCUUCCCCAUCCGGCUGCAACCUGAAUCGCAGAGUUUUUCCUUACCUCCGGCACCCCUAAAUCCUCCAUCAAGUAUGUGGAGGAUUCCUUUUCAACAAUUUUUAGUUGCUUCGGCGCGUGUUUGUUUCAAAAAGCUCAAAUUGCGAGUGCCAGGAACGGAAUGAAAUCGUUUCGAAAGAGCCAGGGAGGCAGGGAGCCAGGGAGCCGGGAGCCAAAAAGAAAGAAAAGGAAUUACAGCUGCCUCUGGCACUGAGUUUUCGCAAUUAUCCACGACCUCCCCUCUCGCCAGACUCCACGUCCCCCACCCCCCAACAGCUACGUGCGAAUUUAUUGAUAGCGAUAUUUUCCAGUUUCCUUUUGGCUUUUGGGGUGGAGGUUUCUGCGGAGGCACUGAAGGGGGGGUUGGAGCAGCGGUGGGAAGAGCUGCAAAGUCCU
rnacentral:sRNA from 1 species